AUAUUCCGACAGGGGAGCGCCACAGCGCUGAGAGUGCGGCACACGCUUUUAAGACAAGCACAGCGGCCGCAGACCCUCUGAACCUCGCCCAGGUCAUUCUGGGUAGGAAGUUCGGUCGUUACUCGAG
rnacentral:ncRNA from 1 species